rnacentral:rRNA from 1 species
CCUAAGCGACUGCGGAGGACAUUACAGAGACUCUGCCCUUUGGGUAGACCUCCCACCCUGUGUCGUUAUACCUUCGUUGCUUUGGCGGGCCGCGGGGCUCCGGCCCUGCCCCUGGCUCCGGCUAGGGCGCGCCCGCCAGAGGACUCCCAAACCUGAAUGUUAGUGUCGUCUGAGUACUAUAUAAUAGUUAAAACUUUCAACAACGGAUCUCUUGGUUCUGGCAUCGAUGAAGAACGCAGCGAAAUGCGAUAAGUAAUGUGAAUUGCAGAAUUCAGUGAAUCAUCGAAUCUUUGAACGCACAUUGCGCCCCUUGGUAUUCCGGGGGGCAUGCCUGUUCGAGCGUCAUUACAACCCUCAAGCUCUGCUUGGUCUUGGGCGUCACCGGUCCCCGGUGUGCCUCAAAAUCAGUGGCGGCGCCGUCUGGCUCUAAGCGUAGUACAUACUCUCGCUACAGACGCCCGGCGGAUGCUGGCCAGCAACCCCCAAUCUAUCAAGGUUGACCUCGGAUCAGGUAGGGAUACCCGCUGAACUUAAGCAUAUCAA